AUGGAGGUGGACCCGUCGCCGUCCCCGUCCCCGCCGCCGCCGCCAAUGUCGACGCCGGGCUACUUCGACCCGGAGUCCUCCCGCCUCCGGGAGGAGUACCGCCGCUACAGAAAGAGACUAUCUUCUUCAAACGACUCCCCAAUGUUGGGGACCUCAUUCUCCAGAUUCUCGGAAGCAAGGGCAUUGCAUGAUGGAAGCAGCAUACCUAGGCGGCCCAAUGCUGGUCUACUACUUGAAGAAGUCAAGCAGGAGGCUGCUGAUUAUUCCGACAUUGAUGGCUUGAAUGGACCGAAACUGCUGGAUGGUGGUUCAGGUAGGAAGGCGGCAAGAUCAACGUUGAAUCUAGUCAAGCUGGAGGACGAUAUGCCACGAGAAGGAGAAACAACUUUUACAGCGUUUGCAUCCCUUCUUGAUUCAGCAAUACAAGGAUUGAUGCCCUUCCCAGACGUGAUUUUACAAUUUGAGAGGACAUGUAGAAACGCUUCAGAGUCACUAAGGUAUGCUGCCAUAGGAAAGGUUCGGAUGGUGGAGGAUAAACUUAUGCAGCAAAAAGCACAACUAUUACUGGAUGAAGCUGCUUCUUGGUCACUUCUUUGGUACCUCUAUGGGAAAGCAAAUGAAGAGCUUCCUGAAGGACUAUUCAUGUCACCAACUACAUCCCAUCAGGAGGCUUGCCGCUAUGUUGCAACAGAUCUUACAGCACAAUUGUGUCUGCGGAUUGUACUUUGGCUUGAAGGACUUGCUUCUGAAAGUCUUGAUUUGGAGAAAAAGGUGAGAGGAUCUCAUGUUGGUUCAUAUCUACCAAGUUCUGGUGUUUGGCAUCGUACACAGAGGUACCUAAAGAGAAAGAAUAAUGAUUCUAAUAUAGUGAAGCAUGUGGAUUUUGAUGCUCCAACUCGUGAAGUAGCCCAACUUCUUCCUGAUGACAAGAAGCAAGAUGAAUUGCUUUUAGAAGAUAUCUGGACUCUCUUAAGAGCUGGAAGAUUAGAAGAGGCAUGUGAAUUGUGCCGAUCUGCUGGACAGUCAUGGAGAGCAGCCACUCUUUGCCCCUUUGGUGGCAUAGAUCUGUUUCCUUCCCUGGAGGCCAUGCUCAAGAAUGGAAAUUCUAGAACACUACAAGCAAUUGAACUGGAAAGUGGUAUUGGACGGCAGUGGCGUCUUUGGAAAUGGGCAUCCUAUUGUGCUUCAGAGAAAAUUGCUGAACACGAUGGUGGCCAGUAUGAGAUGGCUGUAUAUGCUUUACAGUGCAGUAACUUGAAGCGUACCUUGCCAAUCUGUACUGACUGGGAGUCAGCUUGCUGGGCAAUGGCUAAAUCCUGGCUAGAUGUUAAAGUGGAUAUAGAAUUAUCUCAAUAUCAAACCAGCAGACCAGAAGAGAAAGAGUUUGAUGAUGAUAUGAAUGGAACCCAGCUUGGCCCAGAAAAUUGGCCAUAUCAUGUUCUUGAUCAGCAACCUCGUGAUAUAGCUGCACUUCUGCAGAAACUCCACUCAAGUGACCUUGUUCAUGAAACUGUUUCUCGAGCAUGUCGGGAGCAGCAUCGACAAAUUGAGAUGAAUCUCAUGAGUGGAAAUUUAGCUCAUCUUCUUGACCUUCUAUGGUCAUGGUUGUCUUCCAUCGAAGAGGGUCAAAACGUCUUGAGGUCCCGUGAUGAUUCCGACAUGAUACGUUUUGGGGCACAUAUUGUUCUUGUUUUGAGAUACCUUCUCAGCAAUGAAAUGGAAGACGAGUUUGAGGAAAAGCUGGUUACUGUCGGUGAUCUCAUCAUCAACAUGUACGUGAGAUACUUGUUUUCAGAGGGGCAGGAAGAGUUGGUUGGAGUAUAUGCCUCUCAGCUUGAACGUGAUGUUUGCAUUGAUUUGUUUGUGGACAUGAUGGAACUAAGGUUAAAUAGCAGCUUGCAUACCAUGUACAAGCUUUUCCUCUCUGCUGUGGAGUAUCUGCCAUUCUCAUCUGGAGAUGUAUCCAAGGCUUGUUUUGAAGAGAUAAUUGAGAGAGUUCUUUCAAGGUCUCGAGAAAUAAAACCCCAUCAGUACAAUGAAGAUUUCUCUGAUGUCGCAGAACAGCAUCACCUGCAAGCACUUCAGAAGGCAAUGAUCAUUCAGUGGCUUUGCUUCACACCACCAUCCUCAAUUCCAGACUUUGAGAUGAUCACAGGGAAACUUCUGAUACGGGCGUUGAUGCAUAGCAACACACUAUUCAGAGAAUUUUCCUUAAUAUCAAUGAGGAGAGUCCCUGAACUACCAGUAGGACCACAUAAGUUGCUUGCCAUCCUUGCCGAACCAUUGAAACAAAAGGAAAAUUUAUUUUCGCUUGAAGAUCAAGAGGUGUCUGAUAACUUAGAAGAAUUUGAAGAUUGGCACGAAUAUUACUCCCUGGAUGCAACAUACCGGGGUUGGCUUAGAUGCGAGAUGGAGAAUUCUUCUGUUCCCCCUGAAAUGCUUUCGGCAGAAGAAAAGGAUCAAGCUGUUGCUGCAGCGACACAAACACUGGAGUUAGCAUUCUUGUUAUUAGAAAGGGAAGAGAGACCAUGGUUAAAUGCUGUCGAGACAAGCCCAUUUGAGUCAUCAGAGCUUGUUUUCCUUGAGUUGCAUGCAACGGCAAUACUCUGUCUACCUUCUGGGGAAUGCAUGACACCAGAUGCAACAUCAUGCACGGCUCUGACUAGUGCACUUUAUUCAACUAUCAGCGAAGAGGAUGUGCUGCAUCGCCAGCUGAAGGUGGAAGUUAAGGUCUCGUCUAAAGAUCCUUGCUGUAUUGAAGUUGCGCUCCGUUGCUUAGCAACAGAAGGUGAUGGGUUUGGGCUUCAUGAAGCCAAUGAUGGAGGUCUUCUUGCUGCAAUUAUGGCCGCAGGCUUUAAAGGUGAACUCAAUCGGUUUCAACCUGGAGUUUCGAUGGAAAUUUCACGACUUGAUGCUUGGUAUUCUGAUUGUCAUGGUUCGGUUGAAAGUACUGCUGCUUAUAUCAUUCGAGGACUUUGCCGAAGAUGCUGCCUGCCGGAAACAAUUCUACGCUCCAUGCAGGCAUCCAUCUCCCUUUCCGAAGCUGGCGAUUCUCUAGACCGUUGUGAUAAACUCAUCGAGUUAGUUGCUUCAUCAGAUUCUGGGAUGAUGCACUUGUUCAGCCAGCAGCAGUUACAGGAGUUCCUGAUUUUUGAGAGGGAGUGCUUCAUAUGUAAAAUGGAGCUUGAGGAAGAGCAGAGGCCUGCUGAUGGCUAA
rnacentral:rRNA from 1 species